rnacentral:rRNA from 1 species
GUGGGGAAUAUUGCACAAUGGGCGAAAGCCUGAUGCAGCGACGCCGCGUGAGGGAUGACGGCCUUCGGGUUGUAAACCUCUUUCAGUAGGGAAGAAGCGAAAGUGACGGUACCUGCAGAAGAAGCGCCGGCUAACUACGUGCCAGCAGCCGCGGUAAUACGUAGGGCGCAAGCGUUAUCCGGAAUUAUUGGGCGUAAAGAGCUCGUAGGCGGUUUGUCGCGUCUGCUGUGAAAGACCGGGGCUCAACUCCGGUUCUGCAGUGGGUACGGGCAGACUAGAGUGCAGUAGGGGAGACUGGAAUUCCUGGUGUAGCGGUGAAAUGCGCAGAUAUCAGGAGGAACACCGAUGGCGAAGGCAGGUCUCUGGGCUGUAACUGACGCUGAGGAGCGAAAGCAUGGGGAGCGAACAGGAUUAGAAACCCCAGUAGUCC